ACUUGGUCGACAAUCUAAUAUU
rnacentral:miRNA from 1 species